AAUCCAUAGGUUAAUGAGGCGAACCGGGGGAACUGAAACAUCUAAGUACCCCGAGGAAAAGAAAUCAACCGAGAUUCCCCCAGUAGCGGCGAGCGAACGGGGAGGAGCCCAGAGCCUGAAUCAGCAUGUGUGUUAGUGGAAGCGUCUGGAAAGGCGCGCGAUACAGGGUGACAGCCCCGUACACAAAAGCGCAUGUGCUGUGAGCUCGAUGAGUAGGGCGGGACACGUGGUAUCCUGUCUGAAUAUGGGGGGACCAUCCUCCAAGGCUAAAUACUCCUGACUGACCGAUAGUGAACCAGUACCGUGAGGGAAAGGCGAAAAGAACCCCGGCGAGGGGAGUGAAAAAGAACCUGAAACCGUGUACGUACAAGCAGUGGGAGCACCCUUUUGGGUGUGACUGCGUACCUUUUGUAUAAUGGGUCAGCGACUUAUAUUCUGUAGCAAGGUUAACCGAAUAGGGGAGCCGGAGGGAAACCGAGUCUUAAUUGGGCGUUAAGUUGCAGGGUAUAGACCCGAAACCCGGUGAUCUAGCCAUGGGCAGGUUGAAGGUUGGGUAACACU
rnacentral:rRNA from 1 species